rnacentral:rRNA from 1 species
GACGUAGGUGGCAAACGUUAUCCGGAAUUAUUGGGCGGAAAGGGUGCGUAGAUGGCAUGAUAAGUUAUUGGUGGUAAAUCGAGGCUCAACCUCGUGGAAACUGGUAAUACUGUCAUACUUGAGUGCAGAAGAGGUUAACGGAACUCCCUGUGGAGCGGUAAAAUGUGAAGAUAUAGGGAAGAACACCAAUAACGGCGAAGGCAGUUAACUAUUCUGCUACUGACAUUGAGGCACGAAAGCGUGGGGAGCAAAACGG